rnacentral:pre_miRNA from 1 species
GGUUGAAUGGCUGGGUCAUAUGGCAGAUAUAUACUUAACUUUUCAAAAAACUGCCAAACUGUUUUUCAAAGUAGUUUUGCCAUUUACAUUUCCACAAGCAGU